GAUGAACGCUAGCGGCAGGCUUAAUACAUGCAAGUCGAACGGUAACAGGUCUUCGGACGCUGACGAGUGGCGCACGGGUGAGGAACACGUACACAAUCUACCUUAUACUGGAGAAUAGCCCCGGGAAACUGGGAUUAAUACUCCAUAGUCUUUAAUGAUCACAUGAGAAAUAAAGUAAAGCUUCGGCGGUAUAAGAUGAGUGUGCGUCCCAUUAGAUUGUUGGUGAGGUAACGGCUCACCAAGUCGACGAUGGGUAGCUGGCGUGAGAGCGCGACCAGCCACACUGGCACUGAGACACGGGCCAGACUCCUACGGGAGGCAGCAGUAGGGAAUAUUGGUCAAUGGACGAAAGUCUGAACCAGCCAUGCCGCGUGGAGGAUGACUGCCCUCUGGGUUGUAAACUCCUUUUAUAUGGGAAGAAACCUCUGGAUUCACUCCAGAGCUGACGGUAUCAUAUGAAUAAG
rnacentral:rRNA from 1 species